UUUUUUUAAAUGUAUCCCUAUUAUAUUGUUUCGAAUGCAUAUUAGACAAAGAUAUAUUCCACCUGUUUCAACAAGACACAACCCCCUUGAUCUUCCUUAUGAUUCAUAUUGAUAUUCCUUGUGAUUCAAAUGAGGAAAAGCCUGACCUUAAAGUUGAUAGUUUUCAGCAAGAAUUCUCAAAAUUUAGCAUAGGGAACCAGUCUUCGAAGACAUGAAAGUUUUCAGCAUGGGACCAUCAAUUUUGGGAGCUCCCAAAGAGACAAUAUCUUCAGUGGAAGCCAUAUUUUGUGCCUCAAAGAUUUUGUCACAAACUGUCAAACCUUCCAACGGCAAUUGAGUGUAGUUAGCGAGUCGAAGUUGAGACUCAAUUCCAGAUACUGAAUCAGUGAGUUUAGCUUUGGAAGAGGAGGAGGACAAGAAGCCCAAUGAAGAAGAUUUUUCUCAAGAAAUUGAAAUGCUGUCUAAUUGGGAUUAUGUUUCUGUCCUUAUUGGUUAUACAACUUUUAUUUAUUUCUUUUUAUGUAAGGGCAUAAUAAUCAUUUUCCUAGCAAUUAACAGCAAUAUAACCGAAUAGGAGAACCUAUUUACUGCAUUAAAUCAAAAUUUCAUGACUAAUUUAUUACUAAAACUUUAAUAAGGGAUUAAUAUGUGAAUUAAAUUAUAUCUCAGGGACUUGCAUGUAAAUUAUCUAAAAGUAAAGUAAGACUAAUUGAAAAGAAAAAAGUAUGCUCAUCUUAUUGCGGGUGAUAUAUAUAGAACAAAAAUGAAUGAUUUGGAAGCUGAUGAAAACACGACAUUAAUUAAUUUCAUGGGUUAUCCAAAGAAGUGAUGGAAAAAGGGUCCCAAGUAAGAAAAUCUUAGUAAGAAAAAGGUCUGAACACAAGGACAUCUUUAUUCUAAGCACUCAACAACCACCAUCUGCAAAGGAGAUUGCAGAUGAAAAGUAAUGAAGGAAACCCUUUUUUUCAAAGUCGGAUAUAAUGCAGAAAACAACUUCUGGGUGGGGAUUACCAUGCCAUGAAGACAUCAUUUUGGUAGCUCAUUCACAUGAGAAAGAAAAAGGCAAACAUAAUAAGAAUGGAGUUGUAAUAUUUUAAUGCUUAGAUUUAAUCAUUGAAGAGUAGCAGUUCAAAGAAUGAACAUGUGUUAAUCAUGAAAAACCAGAAUAGCAUUUUCUCUAAGUACAACAUCUAUGGUCCACCUAAUUAUCACCCUCCAAAAUCUACGUGACAUCAUUUUCUUCAUUUAAACCUUCAACGAGUUGGUGUUUAUAGAAUCGAGUAUAAAAGUUAUAUUUAAAUUAAUAUUUUAAUCAUUUCCACGGCAAGACGAAGAACUAAAAGAAUUUAUAUAUUAUUUUCGCAAAAAAUAUAUAUUUACUAGCUUAUUAAAUUUAGUUAAAAAAUGGAAGAAAAGACACCAAAAAUUAGUACUGACCUUUUGGUGGGGAAGGAAAAUAAUGAGAGAGGAUUUCAUUACAGAACGAAGCAGCAGAAGAAAAAAUCUUUGCCCACAUCAUCAAAAAAGGCUAGGCUUAAAAUGUUUAUAGCUAGUGUUACUAAUUAAUGAACAUCUUAUAGUAUCAAAAGUUGAAAAAAUAUAUCUACUGAGAAAGAAGACGACACGAAGAUGCAAAUCAAAACAAAAUCAAAUCUCGACAGGGACAAAGAAGAUCGAACAGACAAGAAAAGUUGUACAAAUAUUACUAGUGAUGAAGUCACUUUCCUAUUACUAGUACUGUUACAAUUUUACACGGACAACUCUGAAGAAAGAAAAUAAACUGGGAAGACCAACCUAUGAGAACCCAUAAAUAGGACUUCAAUGGAGGGAGGGACAAAUUGAUAUUCAGUGGAAAGAAAACGGCUAGGGUAUGAUCAACAUAUAGGUUUUGUAUAUAGAGAGAAAAAGAAUUGCUUUACCUUAUUUGAUGAUUCAGUUCCAUCCCCUUACGGUGUCUGACUGCGACAGUUUUGGGGAGAGACACUGAGGGAGAAACUUUAACGCCUGUGGUCUGCUUGUCCCGUUGUUGUAGCCUAUAUAUAUAUCUCGAAGCGCAAGUUUUGCCUCGAAAAGGAGCUUUUACAGAGCAGCGCACGUGUAACCCAGUACCCAAUGUUCAUCUCUGUAGCGGCUUCCAUCGUGUUUAAUAAAAACCCUAACCACUCUGAAUUCAGAAAUAAAAGCAAACCGACAAACUGAGAACCCUAAGCCCAUGACUUCACAUUAGAGCAUUACUGAUCUUACUUUAUUCCAAGUGAUUAUAUGAUCUGCUACUUCUUCCCCAUCAACCCUCGAACACUCGCUACAAACCAAAUCAUCCAUCGUUCUUUUCUUAGUCAUUAUAACCAUGAUAACGUUAAAAUUUACUAUAAGAUUACCA
rnacentral:lncRNA from 1 species